rnacentral:rRNA from 1 species
UACGGGGGGAGCAAGCGUUGUUCGGAUUUACUGGGCGUAAAGGGCGGGUAGGCGGCCACUGCAAGUCGGUUGUGAAAUCUCCGGGCUUAACUCGGAAAGGUCAAUCGAUACUGCGGGGCUAGAGUGCGGAAGGGGCAACUGGAAUUCUCGGUGUAGCGGUGAAAUGCGUAGAUAUCGAGAGGAACACCUGCGGCGAAGGCGGGUUGCUGGGCUGACACUGACGCUGACAGCGCGAAAGCUAGGGGAGCAAACGGG